rnacentral:lncRNA from 1 species
GGAAAGUUGAAAGGGAGAGGAAAGGGAGAGAAAACCUUCAGACCAUAAUGUAGAUCUAACUCUCUUUCAAACUAUUAUGACUGCAGUCUGCUGACUGCUUUGAGGUCUCUUCAAACAUCAAUAUAAAUGUCCAAAUGUGGAGGGGGAGGCCGUGGGGGAGGUCCAAGAGGCCCCCAGGGCAAAGGAGGUGGAUCCUGUCUCAGCAUUGGCAGUGGAGGGCCUCCCAUGGAGUGGGGCAUGAAGGGAGGUCCUGGAAAAGGAGGGGGACCCCUUGCAGCCAUAUUAACCUUGCCCUCCUCUGUCCACCCAGCAGGGAAUGAGCUUCCAGAGCUGCUGUUCCUCAGGGGAGCUGCACCAGGUCCUGGAUCUCUCUGUGGAGGGGCGUCCACAUCAGGCCUUCCCGGCACCAGUUUCUUAUGUUUCUGGGAUAUUUCCAGUCUAUGUUUCAACUGCUGAGAUGACCAUUUUUGCCUGGGACACAUCCAUCAUCUGUAUCAUUUGAAAUUUCAUCUUUGUGUUCAUAUCACCUGACAGUUCUCCAUGCAAGUCUGUGUGAUUGUCCUCAAAUGCACUUUCAGAGACACUCCUCAACUGGGAGAUGCAAUUAGUCAAAGCGGCCAUAUAAUUGAUUUUUUCAGACUGAGCUCCUUGCAAAUCUUUCUGGGUCUUUUCUAAGACAAUGAUUUAUUCCUGAAGGUCAGAGUACUCUUUCCUCUGGUGUUCAAUUUCCUGCUAUAACUUCUCCCCUUGGCCUUUAGCUCAGCAUUUUCCUUCCACACCUUCUCCUGUUCUGUCUUAGCUUUUGCCUCAAUGAUUUUGGCUUCAUGAAUGGCAUUUUGGACCCCAUUCAUAUCAGAAGUAGUCUUCAAAUAAAGCCUUUCAAGUCUGCUAUGAUUUUUUCUUUUUCCAAAAUCAGGUCCUGAUUGUAGGCAUUCUGAAGUCUCUCACUCUGCAGGGUAGCUCGUAUCCACCCAAGGAUGUUGCCCAGCAUUUCAUUUCUCCCCUCCA